UACGUAGGUGGCAUGCGUUGUCCGGAUUUACUGGGCGUAAAGGGCGUGCAGGCGGUUUGUUAAGUCUAGGGUGAAAGCUCCCGGCUCAACUGGGAGAGGUCCUUGGAUACUGGCGAACUUGAGGGAUGCAGAGGAAAGUGGAAUUCCCGGUGUAGUGGUGAUAUGCGUAGAUAUCGGGAGGAACACCAGUGGCGAAGGCGGCUUUCUGGGCAUUUCCUGACGCUGAGACGCGAAAGCGUGGGGAGCGAACCGG
rnacentral:rRNA from 1 species